rnacentral:rRNA from 1 species
AUUGAACGCUGGCGGCAGGCCUAACACAUGCAAGUCGAACGGUAACAGGAAGCAGCUUGCUGCUUUGCUGACGAGUGGCGGACGGGUGAGUAAUGUCUGGGAAACUGCCUGAUGGAGGGGGAUAACUACUGGAAACGGUAGCUAAUACCGCAUAACGUCGCAAGACCAAAGAGGGGGACCUUCGGGCCUCUUGCCAUCGGAUGUGCCCAGAUGGGAUUAGCUAGUAGGUGGGGUAAAGGCUCACCUAGGCGACGAUCCCUAGCUGGUCUGAGAGGAUGACCAGCCACACUGGAACUGAGACACGGUCCAGACUCCUACGGGAGGCAGCAGUGGGGAAUAUUGCACAAUGGGCGCAAGCCUGAUGCAGCCAUGCCGCGUGUAUGAAGAAGGCCUUCGGGUUGUAAAGUACUUUCAGCGGGGAGGAAGGGAGUAAAGUUAAUACCUUUGCUCAUUGACGUUACCCGCAGAAGAAGCACCGGCUAACUCCGUGCCAGCAGCCGCGGUAAUACGGAGGGUGCAAGCGUUAAUCGGAAUUACUGGGCGUAAAGCGCACGCAGGCGGUUUGUUAAGUCAGAUGUGAAAUCCCCGGGCUCAACCUGGGAACUGCAUCUGAUACUGGCAAGCUUGAGUCUCGUAGAGGGGGGUAGAAUUCCAGGUGUAGCGGUGAAAUGCGUAGAGAUCUGGAGGAAUACCGGUGGCGAAGGC